ACACGCGCGCGGGAAGAUAGCGCCCGAGCACAGCCGUCUGUUUCGGACCCUGUUAAACGAGCGGCCUCCAGCGUUUUGCGGCGGGGGAAUCCCCCGUCACCAUCCUCCNNGAACGAGUUGUUUGCGUGGGGAAGGCCACCCUUGCUGAGGGGCACCCUUGACGUGCGGUCCCUGUGAAGCCCUCAGUUAUUGAUGGAACAAAAAAUACAAAUAUUUCAUGCCACUUGUGAGUAUAUCAAAUAUUAUUUUUUCUCAUUUCUUAUAGACUCAUCUUUCAUGAAAAUUUACUCAUUUUAAAAAAUGAAUAAAACUAUUCUGAUGAUUUCUCCUUUUAGUAUUGUAGAAAUAUCCCAUUUUUUUAGAAAAAAACAAAAGAGUGAAAGGGACUCUGAGUAAUAAAAUGGACAACAUCCUCAGUUUUAAAACAUAACCAUGUAGUUGUGACUUUCACAUGGUUAUGUCUUACAACAAUCUUGGUAAAAAUUAGGAUGAAGCAUUAAAUGCAACUCACUGAGGGUGAUCAGAAAAGUGUUGUGUGGUGGGUUGCUAAUAUUUAGCUUUCUGGUGAUUCAACAUUAACCAAAGAUUGAGUUUAUAAGGCAUUGGACCUAUUUUCCCUAAACAUUUCUUCUCUCAGUAGGUACUUGGAAGGGAGCCUAGAUAACCUGGAGUGCUGGUAUUCUAAAUUGCUGGCUAAAGGCCCAUCCAUAUGCUUUGGAACUGAGACCAGCAAGCAAGAUAUUAUUCUCUUAGGAAGAUUGAGUAGCUCUAACAAGUAUUCUUGCCACACAGCUACAUCUAGAUAAACUGGAGCUUGGGCCCAUGGUCUUAUGUGUUUCAGUGUUUGGACGGAACACACCCAGGGUGGUCCCUUCUACCAGCCAAUGGCCACCCUCCAGCCUUUUUUCCGGUCGCAACCUUCGGAGCCAUCUUCCUGGCCAUCUUCUGCCACCGGGAGCGAACACCCAAGUUUGAAUUUAAUUCCUUGUCCCGGAUCUACCCUGAGCUCCCAGAUUGGCCAUGCGGCUCCGGAGUGUGUUGGCCACUUCCACGAGUUGGCUGAGGAGAAGCGUGGGGGCACCAAGCAAGCGUUCCUUGAAGAUGCAAAACCCGCGCGGUGGCACCCACUUCCAGGACAUGCAGAAGCCGUCCCAAAGUGAGUGGGGGUAAACCCUGGACGCCAUGGAAGCCGCCCUGCUUCUGGAGAAGACCCUGAACCAGGCCCUUCUGGAUCUGCAUGCCCUGGGUUCUGCCCGCGCGGAUCCCCAUCUCUGUGACUUCCUGGAGAAGCACUUCCUAGAUGAGGAG
rnacentral:lncRNA from 1 species